rfam:Ictidomys tridecemlineatus contig037292, whole genome shotgun sequence.
GGGGCUAUAGCUCAGUGGUAGAGCACUUGCCUAGCAUGUAUGAAGCACUGGGUCCAAUCCUUAGCACCA